rnacentral:rRNA from 1 species
GUAGGCCUUUCGGGGUACACGAGCGGCGAACGGGUGAGUAACACGUGGGUGAUCUGCCCUGCACUCUGGGAUAAGCUUGGGAAACUGGGUCUAAUACCGGAUAUGACCGCAUGCCGCAUGGUGUGUGGUGGAAAGAUUUAUCGGUGCAGGAUGGGCCCGCGGCCUAUCAGCUUGUUGGUGGGGUAAUGGCCUACCAAGGCGACGACGGGUAGCCGACCUGAGAGGGUGACCGGCCACACUGGGACUGAGACACGGCCCAGACUCCUGCGGGAGGCAGCAGUGGGGAAUAUUGCACAAUGGGCGGAAGCCUGAUGCAGCGACGCCGCGUGAGGGAUGAAGGCCUUCGGGUUGUAAACCUCUUUCAGCAGGGACGAAGCGUGAGUGACGGUACCUGCAGAAGAAGCACCGGCUAACUACGUGCCAGCAGCCGCGGUAAUACGUAGGGUGCGAGCGUUGUCCGGAAUUACUGGGCGUAAAGAGUUCGUAGGCGGUUUGUCGCGUCGUUUGUGAAAACCCGGGGCUCAACUUCGGGCUUGCAGGCGAUACGGGCAGACUUGAGUGUUUCAGGGGAGACUGGAAUUCCUGGUGUAGCGGUGAAAUGCGCAGAUAUCAGGAGGAACACCGGUGGCGAAGGCGGGUCUCUGGGAAACAACUGACGCUGAGGAACGAAAGCGUGGGUAGCAAACAGGAUUAGAUACCCUGGUAGUCCACGCCGUAAACGGUGGGCGCUAGGUGUGGGUUCCUUCCACGGGAUCUGUGCCGUAGCUAACGCAUUAAGCGCCCCGCCUGCGGAGUACGGCCGCAAGGCUAAAACUCAAAGGAAUUGACGGGGGCCCGCACAAGCGGCGGAGCAUGUGGAUUAAUUCGAUGCAACGCGAAGAACCUUACC